CUACGUGCCAGCAGCCGCGGUAAUACGUAGGUCCCGAGCGUUGUCCGGAUUUAUUGGGCGUAAAGCGAGCGCAGGCGGUUAGAUAAGUCUGAAGUUAAAGGCUGUGGCUUAACCAUAGUACGCUUUGGAAACUGUUUAACUUGAGUGCAAGAGGGGAGAGUGGAAUUCCAUGUGUAGCGGUGAAAUGCGUAGAUAUAUGGAGGAACACCGGUGGCGAAAGCGGCUCUCUGGCUUGUAACUGACGCUGAGGCUCGAAAGCCAGGGGAGCGAACGGGAUUAGAUACCCCGGUAGUCCUGGCCGUAAACGAUGGGUACUAGGUGUAGGAGGUAUCGACCCCUUCUGUGCCGGAGUUAACGCAAUAAGUACCCCGCCUGGGGAGUACGACCGCAAGGUUGAAACUCAAAGGAAUUGACGGGGGCCCGCACAAGCGGUGGAGUAUGUGGUUUAAUUCGAAGCAACGCGAAGAACCUUACCAGGUCUUGACAUCCCUCUGACCGCUCUAGAGAUAGAGCUUUC
rnacentral:rRNA from 1 species